rnacentral:rRNA from 1 species
ACGCUGGCGGCGUGCCUAAUACAUGCAAGUAGAACGCUGAAGGAGGAGCUUGCUUCUCCGGAUGAGUUGCGAACGGGUGAGUAACGCGUAGGUAACCUGCCUGGUAGCGGGGGAUAACUAUUGGAAACGAUAGCUAAUACCGCAUAAUAGUAGAUGUUGCAUGACAUUUACUUAAAAGGUGCAAUUGCAUCACUACCAGAUGGACCUGCGUUGUAUUAGCUAGUUGGUGGGGUAACGGCUCACCAAGGCGACGAUACAUAGCCGACCUGAGAGGGUGAUCGGCCACACUGGGACUGAGACACGGCCCAGACUCCUACGGGAGGCAGCAGUAGGGAAUCUUCGGCAAUGGACGGAAGUCUGACCGAGCAACGCCGCGUGAGUGAAGAAGGUUUUCGGACCGUAAAGCUCUGUUGUAAGAGAAGAACGAGUGUGAGAGUGGAAAGUUCACACUGUGACGGUAUCUUACCAGAAAGGGACGGCUAACUACGUGCCAGCAGCCGCGGUAAUACGUAGGUCCCGAGCGUUGUCCGGAUUUAUUGGGCGUAAAGCGAGCGCAGGCGGUUAGAUAAGUCUGAAGUUAAAGGCUGUGGCUUAACCAUAGUACGCUUUGGAAACUGUUUAACUUGAGUGCAAGAGGGGAGAGUGGAAUUCCAUGUGUAGCGGUGAAAUGCGUAGAUAUAUGGAGGAACACCGGUGGCGAAAGCGGCUCUCUGGCUUGUAACUGACGCUGAGGCUCGAAAGUGUGGGGAGCAAACAGGAUUAGAUACCCUGGUAGUCCACGCCGUAAACGAUGAGUGCUAGGUGUUAGACCCUUUCCGGGGUUUAGUGCCGCAGCUAACGCAUUAAGCACUCCGCCUGGGGAGUACGACCGCAAGGUUGAAACUCAAAGGAAUUGACGGGGGCCCGCACAAGCGG